rnacentral:lncRNA from 1 species
CACACGGGAAAAAAUCUGAUCCCAUUAUCAUGAUUUACGAAUCAUGAAAAUUAUAAAUUGCUCUUGGGACGAAAUCAUGAUUCAGACUCAUGAUUUUUGAAGCUGAGCUACCACUAUCAUGAUUCAGAGCAACCAUUUUCAUGAGCUCCAAAUCAUGACCAUGAAAAGCGUUACGCACACGGUGCACCUGUCAAAACGUGUUUAGCAAAGCUUGUGCAAAGCAUAGUUGGCUGCGCAUUCACGGAAAAGUUGCCCUUUUUUAAAAAAAAAAAAAGUUCACUCUUAUUGCCGGUUUCCUGCGCCGCUGUUGCUCUACUGUCGUUCCUGCUCUACUAUUCCGUUCCUGCUCCGUUGAUAUCGAGCUAUUCCGGCUCUGCAGAACUACCGCCGUUUCAUUCUGUUCCUUUCCUGCCGUGGCUGUUGCCCGUUCCGGCUCCUGUGUACCCGUUCCGGCUCCGCAUUGAGGGAAAAUUCUUCCGGCUCCGCUCUACUAACUACCGCCGUUUUAUUGUCCCAGUACCACUGUCGCCAUUCCCGCCGCGGCUGUUGCCGUCCAAUAGGUGCAUCCGUUCCGGCUCCACAUUGAGUGACCAGCUCCGCCCUACCAACUACCGCUCCCGAUUUUGUUGCCGUUCCGGACGUUUCGUUUUCAGCCUUGGCUGGUUCCGCCCAGUAGGUGUUCCCGUUCCGACUUCCCCCACAACUACCGAACGCAGGUGAUAUAGAAGGGAGGAUCGAGUGGCGACUGAACCAUCUCCGCGAAAAAUUUGGGGAAUCAUCGCUACAACCUCAAAUUGUCGCAGUGGGCACGAGCAACUCAACAAAAGCAACGAUGGUUAUUUUUGGCGGCGCGGAGUAUAUCGCAGAUAAUAUUGUGCAUGCUGUAUGCAUUUGUAUGCAUAUCACUUAUGUGCUAAAUUUGCGAUAUACUCCGGACUGCAAACCGCUGUGGCUCUUUGUUCAGUCAUACCUGUUCAAAAUCCCGGCGUCCAUUAUUGAGCUCCCGAAGAGCACACGUGAUUUGCUAAAAGGUAUAGAUAAUUAAACUGGAAGAUCGUUUUUUUUUUCUUAAAAUAAUCUUUUUUCAAGUGAAAAGAAUAGAAUAAAUGAAUUAAACUCAAAACCCCAAAAUAUGUUUUAAAUAAAUGUUGUACUCACAAAUAGCUUAAGGUGAAGGUGCAGUGCGUUUACUUUCAAAACUAUGCAUUUUGCCUCGCGUUUUCUCGAGCACAAAUCUGAAAAUCUGCCUCAAUCUGAAAAUGUACCACAAUGUUUACUGCGAGUGAGCGAGCAACGAGUUAUAUUUUCAGCUUCAUAGACCUGCUGGAUGAUCAGAUUUAUGAUCAUGGGAAUUAGAGCAGAAUGAGAGGCGGCCAUUGUGAUAGCCAUUUUUAGAUUUCACAAACCAUGUCCUUAAUCAGACCGUCACACAGUAGUUUAGUCUGCAAAAAAUGACAGACAAAACCUCUAGCUCAGUGCUUCCCAAACUGUGCGCCGCGGCGCCCUGGGGCGCCUUAAAUCUUUUUCAGGGGCGCCGUGGGCCGAUUAAAAGUAAGGCCUGGCAAACCUUCUCAACUUAUGUUAUAGGUAAUUGUAUUACAUUGAUCGAAAGCAUCAGACGAAAGUUGAAUACGAAAAUCGAACAAAGAAGACAAUUAAGCUGCUCGCCACAGAAGUUGAAUGCAACUUUUU